GACGAACGCUGGCGGCGUGCUUAACACAUGCAAGUCGAACGGAAAGGCCCUGCCUUUGUGGGGUGCUCGAGUGGCGAACGGGUGAGUAACACGUGAGUCACCUGCCCUUGACUGUGGGAUAACUUCAGGCAACUGGGGCUAAUACCGGAUAGGAGCUCCUGCUGCAUGGUGGGGGUUGGAACGUUUCGGCGGUUGGGGAUGGACUCGCGGCUUAUCAGCUUGUUGGUGGGGUAGUGGCUUACCAAGGCUUUGACGGGUAGCCGGCCUGAGAGGGUGACCGGCCACAUUGGGACUGAGAGACGGCCCAGACUCCUACGGGAGGCAGCAGUGGGGAAUAUUGCACAAUGGGCGGAAGCCUGAUGCAGCAACGCCGCGUGCGGGAUGACGGCCUUCGGGUUGUAAACCGCUGUCGCCUGUGACGAAGCGUGAGUGACGGUAAUGGGUAAAGAAGCACCGGCUAACUACGUG
rnacentral:rRNA from 1 species